rnacentral:rRNA from 1 species
UACAGAGGUGGCAAGCGUUGUUCGGAAUUACUGGGCGUAAAGGGCGCGUAGGCGGCCUUCUAAGUCAGACGUGAAAUCCCCCGGCUUAACCUGGGAACUGCAUCCGAAACUGCCUUGCUCGAGUAUGGGAGAGGGAAGUGGAAUUUCCGGUGUAGCGGUGAAAUGCGUAGAUAUCGGAAGGAACAUCAGUGGCGAAGGCGACUUCCUGGACCAAUACUGACGCUCAGGUGCGAAAGCGUGGGGAGCAAACAGG